ACGCUGGCGGCACGCCUAACACAUGCAAGUCGAACGAAGUAGCAAUACUUAGUGGCAGACGGGUGAGUAACAUGUAGGUAUCUACCCUUUGGCCUGGAAUAACACGAGGAAACUUGUGCUAAUACCGGAUAAGUCUUUACGGAGAAAGCUUUAUGCACCAUUGGAUGAGCCUGCACUUGAUUAGUUUGUUGGUGGGGUAAUGGCCUACCAAGACUGUGAUCAAUAGCUGAUUUGAGAGGAUGAUCAGCCACAUUGGGACUGAGACACGGCCCAAACUCCUACGGGAGGCAGCAGUGGGGAAUCUUGCACAAUGGAGGAAACUCUGAUGCAGCGAUGCCGCGUGAGUGAAGAAGGCCCUUGGGUUGUAAAGCUCUUUCGUCGGGGAAGAAAAUGACUGUACCCGAAUAAGAAGGUCCGGCUAACUUCGUGCCAGCAGCCGCGGUAAUACGAAGGGACCUAGCGUAGUUCGGAAUUACUGGGCUUAAAGAGUUCGUAGGUGGUUGAAAAAGUUGGUGGUGAAAUCCCAGAGCUUAACUCUGGAACUGCCAUCAAAACUUUUCAGCUAGAGUAUGAUAGAGGAAAGUAGAAUUUCUAGUGUAGAGGUGAAAUUCGUAGAUAUUAGAAAGAAUACCAAUUGCGAAGGCAGCUUUCUGGAUCAUUACUGACACUGAGGAACGAAAGCAUGGGUAGCGAAGAGGAUUAGAUACCCUCGUAGUCCAUGCCGUAAACGAUGUGUGUUAGACGUUGGAAAUUUAUUUUCAGUGUCGCAGCGAAAGCGAUAAACACACCGCCUGGGGAGUACGACCGC
rnacentral:rRNA from 1 species